UUUGUGGUUUUCUUUUUUCACAUACGCUUUUUAUUUAAAUGCAGCUAAUUUAAACAGUGUUUGCUCAUUACAGCCCACUGACAAACUUACACUUUAUCCAUAUAUAUAUAUAUAAAUAUAUAAUGGUGGUGAUGAUGGUGCUAAUAAUAUAUUACCGACAUUAAUCCGGUUGUUUCCUGUUUUCUUGUGUUUUGUUUAAACCAAACAGUAAAUUAAAUAACUCUUAUUUAAAGUAACAUGCCUUCCUUAAAUGUUCCUCUUGAGAGUCAAAGCGAAAUGAAAAUUGUUAAUGAUGUUGCUUCCGAUAAAGAAAUUAAGUCUGUGGAUUCUUUAGAAACACCUAAAACAACAGAAUCACCUAAAAGUAUGAAAUAUAUUAGUUUGACCUCAUUAACUUUGCAAAAUGCCCUGCUUGCACUUGUUAUGCGAUAUGUGCGUACGAGACCAGGAGAUCUAUUCAUGUCAACCACAGCGGUGAUAAUGUCAGAGGUUUUGAAAUUCAUGACUUGUCUUGUCUUCAUUUUUAUCCAAGAAGGUAGCGUCUCAAAUUGGUUACGACAUUUGAAUGAGAACAUCAUCAAACAACCAAUUGAUUGUAUGAAAGUUUCCAUUCCAUCUCUUGUCUAUACGCUGCAAAAUAACCUUCUCUAUGUCGCUGUAUCUAAUCUGGAUGCUGCAACAUACCAAGUCACAUACCAACUAAAAAUACUGACCACAGCCAUGUUCUCGGUAUUUAUGUUGAACAAAAAACUUAGUCGUAUGCAAUGGGCCUCACUGGUCAUCUUGUUCAUGGGGGUCUCAUUCGUGCAACUCCAACCGGCAUCAUCUACAAAGUCUGCUGAUUCGACAACACAACAGCAACCCCUAAAAGGGCUCAUUGCUGUAAUCAUCUCCUGUAUAAUGUCUGGUUUUGCUGGAGUCUACUUUGAAAAAAUCCUCAAAGGAACCAAACCAAAUUUAUGGCUUCGCAAUGUUCAACUUGGCUUUCUAGGAACCAUCAUUGGAUUAAUCACAAUGGAAAUAAAAGACGGAUUCCAAGUGAAAGAGAAAGGAUUCUUCUUUGGUUACGACUGGGUUGUGUGGUUAGCAAUUUGUUUACAGUCAUUUGGUGGUCUUUUAGUAGCCGUAGUAGUGAAAUACGCUGACAAUAUUUUAAAAUGUCUGCUUUCCUGCUCACUAGUACUUUGGUCUUUGCUAGAUUAACUCUAGCUUAGAGUUAAUAAUCUUAGUGUCUAAAGCCCUUUGAUUCUAGGCCUUGGUUCUACAUCUGGAAUUUCUUCUCUAAUUCUACUAUAGAUUCAGCAAGCUCCUGUGGGUUUUAAAUUCCUCUGUUACUGUUAUAGCCUGGAGAACUACAAUAAGCAAGAGGGGUCUGAGAACCAAGUCUUGGUGAAUUCUUAUCUGCCACCUUACUUCCAGCACCCCUGUACAAGGCUUGGAUGGCUCUCACCAUCCACUCAUCUACCACUAGCUUCCACAGCAACCAGCAGAUGAGGGAGUGAGGGACCCUAUCAAACACUUUUCCAUGUCAACAAAUAUCAAGUACAGCAGUUUAGUUUUGGCUAAACACAUCUCUUGCAGUUGCCUUAUGAGGAAGCUGCAUCAGUCGUGCUUCUCCUUAGCACCAAACUGCAUCUGCAUAAUGAAAUUUUGCU
rnacentral:misc_RNA from 1 species